AUCUGGGAGAGGUGCAGCUGCAGCUGUGGAGCAAGAGCCCUGAGCAAUCUGGAUUGGACUCCUACCAUCUGGGAAAUAUCAAUUUCACUUGGAAACCAGGAGCAUCUCCUACCUCAUCUAGAACUAGUUACCUCCCCAGCCAGCAGCAUGUCAAGGAGAAACAGAAAAAGUAUAGAUUAUCUAUCGUACAAAACAGCCAUUUUCAUGCCCACAGCUUCUGGUGAUCAGAUUAAUCUUUGGUGGCCUCUGCCAUCCAACCUAAUCAUUUGAGGAGGCAAAGGCUUGUCCUGCACCGAUCUGUCUAGCAGUGUGGCUCUGGGCAAGUG
rnacentral:lncRNA from 1 species